GACGAACGCUGGCGGCGUGCCUAAUACAUGCAAGUUGAGCGCUGAAGGUUGGUACUUGUACCGACUGGAUGAGCAGCGAACGGGUGAGUAACGCGUGGGGAAUCUGCCUUUGAGCGGGGGACAACAUUUGGAAACGAAUGCUAAUACCGCAUAAAAACUUUAAACACAAGUUUUAAGUUUGAAAGAUGCAAUUGCAUCACUCAAAGAUGAUCCCGCGUUGUAUUAGCUAGUUGGUGAGGUAAAGGCUCACCAAGGCGAUGAUACAUAGCCGACCUGAGAGGGUGAUCGGCCACAUUGGGACUGAGACACGGCCCAAACCCCUACGGGAGGCAGCAGUAGGGAAUCUUCGGCAAUGGACGAAAGUCUGACCGAGCAGCGCCGCGUGAGUGAAGAAGGUUUUCGGAUCGUAAAACUCUGUUGGUAGAGAAGAACGUUGGUGAGAGUGGAAAGCUCAUCAAGUGACGGUAACUACCCAGAAAGGGACGGCUAACUACGUG
rnacentral:rRNA from 1 species